rnacentral:lncRNA from 1 species
AAGCAUAAGAGGAGAUGAGAGAUAGGACUAAAAAUCAGUAGAAACAAUAAGCAGAAGAAACAGGCCUAUGGGGGAAUGUGGAUAAUGGAAUUGUAAUAAUAGGAACGUUUAAAAUAGCUAUGCUGAAUGCAUUCAAGGGAUAAAAGAUAAUAGUAAUAAUUUCAGCAUAAAUUCAAAAUUCUAUAAAAUAACCAAAUGGAAAUUCUAGAGCUUUAAAAUACAGAAACUGAAAUUAAGAAAAACAUGGAAUUAUUUAAUAGCAGAUUAGAACAACUAAAGAGAAUCAGUGAACUAUAAGAUUAGAUAGAAAAAUAUAUACAAAAUGAAAUGGAGAUAUGAAAGAUGAAAAACACAGAAAAGAGUGGAUAUAACCUUAAAGAUCAUGUAGACCACAUUCACUGGAGUAGGGAUUGGCUAGGUGUCUACCAGACUCUUUCAAUUUUCUCCUGGUCAUCAAGAGCUGGAAUACAUUUCCCAGCCUCCCUUGUAGUUGAGUGUGGCUAUGUAUUUGAGGUUCUGGCCCCUGGAAUACAGGAGGAAGUGAUAUAUAUCAUUUCCAGGCUUGUCCUGUGAAAACAUCUCGUCACCCUCCUCUCUUCUCUUCUCUGGGAUGUUGCUGCCCAUGUGACAUUGGAUGUCACAUGUUGAAGAUGGUUAAGUCUCCAUUACCCUAGGUUCUGAAAUGAUUGCAUGGAUCAAAGCGUCUCAGUCCCUGCCUCUGAAUGGAUUUUACAUGAAUGAGAAACAAAUUGCAUAUUAUAUAUAGUUUAUGUGUCACAGCAUUUAGCAUUAUUUUAACUAACAUAUUCUCAGCCAUUCUAGGAGUCCUCUUUACAACAACCUUUUCUCAGUCUACUUUCAGAAUGAGGAUCUACAGUGAAGAAGGAUGCCUAACUUUUCAAGACAACUAAUUUCUUUUUUUUUUGAAAGAUAUAGCACUUGAAAAAAGUUUUUCCUGAUUUCAUCUCUUUAUGAACUUACUAGACUUAUUUAUUUAUCUGGGACAUCUUUCAGAGAUAUACCUAUAGAUACUGAAACUAGCCCUCAUAAAGAAUUUUUAUUUUGGAAUGUACAUUUGAAAGAGGAAAUGAAAAAUUCUCUGACAUUGUCUAGCUGAAUGACCUUGACUGUGUCUUCCUCAAACUUGGUUUCAAUCAGUAAAAUGACUGCAUUAGAUUGAAUGGAUCUCUACUGUCCCUUUCACCUUAGAGAAGGUUACUGUGAAGAUGAAAGGAGAUGAUGUGUGUAACACUCACAGACUGGGACCCAGGAUGUAUGCAUCAGAUUUUAGGGAAACAUUGGUCUUCUUUCUCACCAUGGUUCAAGGUCUUGGGAUGCCUCCAAGACACGCUGACAAAAAGUCCCAUGAUUUUGUAGCUUAGUGUGUUGUGCCACAAAAAAGCCUUCAAAAUUAUUAAAAUAAGUUUUCCCAUAACAAAAUAAGGGAUCUACAACUAAAUAGAAGUAUUAAUGAUUAUUUAAUACUUCAGAAAGAAUGAAAGAGAGGAGAGAUUUUCUAUACUUGGGGUCUAUGAAAUUCCCUUCUAUCCAUUAAAAAAAUAAAGAACUUUUAAAACAAGGUUGAAUAUGUUCCUCUUCUUCAUAACCAAGGUUCUCUAAGACAGAAAUAUUAACAGCAGAAAAAAUAUUGUGUUGAGAUUAAAUUAAGAAAAAUAUACAUAUAUAUGUACUUUUUUCCCCAGUUCAAAGGACGAUAAAAAAUAAACUACAUAUAUAUACCCCACAUAGAUAUAUAAAUAGUUAGAUAAAUAUAGAGAUAUAGAUAAUCUACUUUCAUGAUUUAUAAUAAGGACACAGAAAAAGGCUGGGAUGGCAGUGGGGAAUGAGCAGAGUCUGAAUUUCUGUACUCCAGCAUAGCACUUACACUAUGAGAAACAGUAUUAGCUAGAGCUAUGUUAGUGCAAUUGUUAAAAGCUCUGUAUUUUACAUGAAAACUUGAGCCAUUGAAAAUAACAGAAUUAGCUAGAACUGGCAUCAAGCCUUAAUGCCAGAAUGUAACCAGUCCACAGAGGUAGGAAGAUGUUCUUAGGCAGGGACCCAAAAAGAGGACUGACACAUAAUAAAGGAUCAGGAUAAUACAAGGCUAAUAAAAAAGAGAAAAGGGACUGAUGCUUUGCUAUUUCUGAGUAAGGAAUUCUUCUAGAUUCUUAGUGAGAAGGAAUUAAGGUAAAGCCAAAGCGAUACGUAGUAUUUAUGCUUUGUUGUAUAUAUUAUGGUUUAUGCAGCUUUUAAAUAAACUAUAUGUAGUUCAUUCUGUCUACGAUGGUAGCAAUAAUAGCUAUUAUUUAUUGAUGUCUUAUUAUAUACUUGAUGUUCAGCGAGGUAUUACAUAUGUCCACAUCUCUUUGCUCACAUGACUCCAAGCUGGCAUAGGCCUCUUCCCUGCAUCCAUCCUUCCAAGAGCAGAAAGCGUAUACCUGCUGGUGUAUGCUCCUUCAUUUCAAGGAGUUGCAAAGGAGUCUUAUAUAUAAAAGUGUGGAUGGAGCUUGGACAUGUGGGUGGAGGUGUCCAUUGGCAUAUGAACUGAGGCCCUUUGUAGUAUGGAUGGGAAGAGACAGAAGGUGGGCUGGGGGCUGGUUCUCCUACACUGCCACAGUCCAUCAUUAAACUUUGAAGAGUCCAAUAAUUCUAAACUAGAACCAUACCAUCUGGGUUUUAAUGAAAUUUGUCAAAGGUGGUAAGGGAUAAAAAAGACUUUAUUUAACAGUUAGCUUGAUUUUUAUAACCAUGAAGUAUUUAGCCAUAGGACACACGGUCCUCUAUUUGUACCCUUUUUCGGGGACUAUAAAUUCAGAGGUAGGUUUAGCACCUAGCACAGUGUCUG